GAAAUAGGCAGAAAGGGAGAGGGGCAAAGACAGCGGCGGGAACCUUGCCACGGCAACUGAAACCAAAAAAUGCCGAGAGGGUGAAGUGAGCAGUGAGGAAUUGCAACAGGGAAAGAGUGGGAUAAGAUCGAAAACCAGAAAAGGGCAGGAAGCCGGGUGAGAAGAGGGUGGGCCAGCGAGGGCGCUCUUAAGGACUUGAAGAAAGUUGGACAGGAAUCGACCUGAAAUGAGAAGAGCAUUGCGCACCCAAGGCCGAAAUGCAAGCACUCUUGGAGGAGCUUUCCGCUCUUUUGUUUCGAUGCCAGUCUCGCGCCUUCAGAUUCCAGACGGCCGGGAUUUCGCCGAGGGGCAGCCCACUCCACCUCUCCCGUGACAAGGGGCUCUCAGAAUGAAACGGGACAGGCCGAGCGAAGGAGGAAAACAGCCAACGUAAUUGGUCACACAAGAGCAUGUGGCCAUUUCCAUUGAAAGGAAGAAACCUCUCCAAAGUCCCCUUCGCCGGGCGGAGCCGCUGCUCGUUUUAGGAGUACUACAUGCAGUCGGAUGUGGCUGGAUACAGCUGUCUGAGUGCGAGUGACGCGCGGAGGUGGGCCCGGUCCCCAGGGCACAAGCCCAAACACGGCAUGCUUGUGAGGGACUACUACAAAGAAUGCGGCUUUGUUGGGAAGGAGUCACACCCCUUCCCAAGGAAACAUGCCCUGGCCCCGCCAACACGGAUCAGAGGUCAAGAAAACUGUAGAGUGCCUGUUUUUGGAGAAAAGGGCCGGGGCGAUGCAGGAGGGGCGUUUCACAGAGACAAAUGCGGAUCAGAUUGCCCAGACGCGAACGUCCAAAACUCAAACAAGCAACAUCACCUGAAGUCCAGCAGAAAUUACGACCUGGAUGACAGCAGAAGAGUGGAGGACGACCCAAAGCCUGUGGACCGGGCCGACAGUCGCGCUGAGGGAGACGGCAACAGACACGGAUCCGUCAAUGAGGCUUCCUGCUCACCACAAGUUCCUUGUGGAGAGCAUCAGCAGAGCUGUCCUCAGAUGAGUAACGCCACAGAUGGUCCUUCAAGCAAAAAACGGGAGUCUGGCGCAUGGUCGAAGAAGAGCCAGAAGGCAGUCAGGGACCAAAUCCACCGCGUUGUUGUGGAAUUAGACAAGAUCUUACACAGCUUAAAAGAGGUUCAUCAGGAGAUGAAAGAGGUGGUGCAGCAGAUCGAACUGCUGACCUCCACCAUAGACCUUCAAGAGGAUGAACCCUGCUGUGGACGGAGCAACGGCAGCUCCAGUGGGGUUGUGGUGGGCAGCCACGCGUGGACCGGGGAUGAAGAAGGGUCCAGGCAGUGCAGCUCUGCCCCCUCCUGCAAAAGCAGCCCCGCACCGUCACACAGCUCUGCCACGAGCAACAGGCGCUUAGUGGACAGCAAAGGGAAAAAAUGUGCUCAAACGUCUGGACAAAACCCUUCCAGGCUCACGGCAGAUGUCCCUUGCAUCAGUGAUCCCCCUCGAAUCUGCACAAGUCCAAAUUACCAGAGGACACCAACUGUGAGACAGAGGACUAAAUCAGACGCGUCACAAAUAGCCAUGACUGGACCGAGGAGCAAGAAGCCGCCUCCGUACCCGCACGGCGCCAGAACCGAAAGGACUGGUAAGGGGAAAGAGUCGGUGAAACUUCCCACGUGCCCAGUAAAGCGCAGGCUGCUUUCUACCACGGUUUAAGGGGGCAGCGGCCAUAGACCCGAUUGCAUAAGUCUCACCAGCUGUGAGGAGUCCGUUUCCACAGUGACAGCGACCUUUCGGGGGGAAUGCGAGAGAAAUGCUAUUAUGCCUGCGCCGCAAGUGAUUUCCAUGUCGCACUGCGCGGUGAGGCUGAUUUCAGAAGUGCACUUCAUGGUCCUUUUUACCUUUGUGUUUGAGUGUAUAUAUGUAUGUAUGCAUCUAUGUAUGUAAGUGUGUUUAUGUGUGUGUGUGUAUGUACACACACACUCACACAAACAUGCCCACAGUAUUGUGCAGACGUUAUAGGCAGCUGUGAAAAAAAAUUUAGAAACCAGGAA
ensembl:lncRNA uncharacterized LOC114802344